ACACCUGCUGCAGGGCCCCUGAGUUGGACUUUCACGAAGAAUCUGUUGAUCGCGACAAACCUGAGAUUACCGCCUCCUGCGCCAGUGAGAGGAGGGCGGACUGAUCCAGGACGGCGCAUGUCAUCAAGGACUUAAGCUGCAACGGCGCCGCCUGUCUAUGUAAACGUGAUGCAGGAGAGGGCUGUGCAUGGCUUUGCCACGCUUGGCAAUGGUUGUGAAGAUCCCACCAGGUGAUCUGGGAGCAAGACGGUUCCAACUUUGUGUUGCUGUAAUAAGCUGUAGUGGGCGAAAUGCCCCAGUUGCUUUAACCUCCAAAAAGUGAUUCAUGCUUAAACAUGUUUCUCAUCAUAGAAACCCCCACAAGGUGGAAAAUCAAAUGUCACUCAAGUUACCUCAAAAGUUACAAAUAAAUAGACAUCACAGUUACAAAAGCACCGCUACAUCGAAAGGAUUUUCACAGAAUUUUCCCAACAUGAUAGAGGACACACAUACUCUCAUGCAUUAAAUGUUGAUAUAUAUAAAUACACAGAUCUCACGUAGUACAUGAUAUCCUUGAAUUGGACGCAACAAUUCAGAGGGGAAGUCCAGACAGUGCCGCAUGGAUACUCACUUCCUAUUUCUGAUUUGAAAAGGAGGAAUGCAACAAAAGAAACAAAGAAAAA